AUAUUAAUUUAGGAUGACAUGUG
rnacentral:siRNA from 1 species